rnacentral:rRNA from 1 species
UACAGAGGUCCCAAGCGUUGUUCGGAUUCAUUGGGCGUAAAGGGUGCGUAGGCGGCGCGGGAAGUCGGGUGUGAAAUCUCGGAGCUUAACUCCGAAACUGCAUUCGAUACUGCCGUGCUUGAGGACUGGAGAGGAGACUGGAAUUUACGGUGUAGCGGUGAAAUGCGUAGAUAUCGUAAGGAAGACCAGUGGCGAAGGCGGGUCUCUGGGCAGUAACUGACGCUGAGGAGCGAAAGCGUGGGGAGCGAACAGG